rnacentral:tRNA from 1 species
GGGGCUGUCGUAUAAUGGGAGUACACCGCGGUCGCAUCGCGGGGAUGAGGGUUCGAUUCCCUCCAGCUCCA